GCCUAGGUGGUGCAGUGGUUGGAGCUUUGGCCUAUGACUCUGGAGACCAGGGUUCGAAUCCCGCUCGGCCA